AGGACGAACGCUGGCGGCAUGCCUAAUACAUGCAAGUCGAACGAAGGCUUCGGCCUUAGUGGCGCACGGGUGCGUAACGCGUGGGAAUCUGCCCCUUGGUUCGGAAUAACAGUUGGAAACGACUGCUAAUACCGGAUGAUGACGAAAGUCCAAAGAUUUAUCGCCAAGGGAUGAGCCCGCGUAGGAUUAGCUAGUUGGUGAGGUAAAGGCUCACCAAGGCGACGAUCCUUAGCUGGUCUGAGAGGAUGACCAGCCACAUUGGGACUGAGACACGGCCCAAACUCCUACGGGAGGCAGCAGUGGGGAAUCUUGCGCAAAUGGGCGAAAGCCUGACGCAGCAUACGCGUGAAUGAUGAAGGUCUUAGGAUUGUAAAAAUUCUUUCAGUAGGGACGAUAAUGACGGUACCUACAGAAGAAGCCCGGCUAACUUCGUGCCAGCAGCCGC
rnacentral:rRNA from 1 species